rnacentral:rRNA from 1 species
GCAAGUCGAACGAGGUCCAUGGAGCUUGCUUCGGACGACCUAGUGGCGAACGGGUGCGUAACACGUGAGAAACCUGUCUUGGACUUUGGGAUAACAGUUGGAAACGACUGCUAAUACCGAAUACCACCAUCACCUCGCAUGGGGAGAUGAUGAAGGGUCCGCCGGUCCAGGAGGGUCUCACGGCCUAUCAGCUUGUUGGAGAGGUAACGGCUCACCAAGGCGACGACGGGUAGCUGGUCUGAGAGGAUGAUC